rnacentral:tRNA from 1 species
GCGAUAGUGGUGUAAGGGUAACAUUUAGGCUUCCCAUGCCUGAGCCCCGAGUUCGAGUCUCGGCUGUCGCA